UGAUGACGUCAUGAACAGGAGCUGCGCGUGUUGAACCGGCUUCUGUUAAGUAAUGACGUCCUCACAGGGAGCUGAAUGAAGCAAUAAUGAAUUUUGUUGACGAGGCUAGCAGGUAGUCGUUGAUAAAUAGCGCGCACACCUGUAACUUUUUAGACGCCAAAGGUUAGUUGAACGAAGCUGCACAAGCACACAUGUGAGCAUGAAACUUACCUCAACAAUUUGCUAGGAUAAAUCAUUCCAUAACUGAAGAA